ACACAACCUAUGAAGCAUGGGGACGGCACUUUGCUGGGCGUUCGCGUCCCGGGGACGUCCCGGGGACGAUACGCGAAAAAUACGCGUAAAAUACGUCCCCGGGGACGUAUUUUUAACUCCCCUUUUUUUAAUUAAUUUUUAAAUAAAAAAUACGUUUAAAAUACGUUGACCAGACGGUCAAAUACGUAUUUGAAGCCAAAAAUACAUUUCAGUCAAAAUUUUAAACCUCUAAACUUGUAAAACCCUAAUUCGCGCCUCCCUCACUCACCAUUUACGUUCGCACUCUCCUCUCUGACCCACCCGCCGCUCGCCGUCGCGCCUCCCUGCGCCAGCCCGCCGCUCGCCGUCGCGCCUCCCUGCGCCAGCCCGCCGCUCGCCGUCGCGCCUCCCCUGCGCCAGCCCGCCGUCGCGCUGCCCUGCGCCCCGCUGCUGUAAAGCCGUAAAGCCAUGAAUUGGAGAGAGUUGUCUUCAAUGAUGAUGAAGAUUUGAGGGAAGAGGAAGAGGAGGAGGAGGAGGAGAAAGACGAUGAUGAGUGAUCUGGGCUACUAACAUUUUAUUGUGUUUUAUUUCAUUAUUUGCUAUUUGGAACUUUGUUAUGAUGAAUUAGUAGUGUUUUACUUAUAUUCUUGGUGAAUUAUGAAUUUAUAAUAUAUAUAAAAUAUAUUUUAAAUAAAAAAACUAAAACGUAUUUUUGACG